UGUAAAGGCAAGAGAGCUAAUGGUGG
rnacentral:piRNA from 1 species